rnacentral:rRNA from 1 species
CAGUCUGCAACUCGACUGCACGAAGCUGGAAUCGCUAGUAAUCGCGGAUCAGCACGCCGCGGUGAAUACGUUCCCGGGCCUUGUACACACCGCCCGUCACACCAUGGAAGUCUGCAAUGCCCGAAGCCGGUGGCCUAACCACUUAUGUGGAAGGAGCCGUCUAAGGCAGGGCAGAUGACUGGGGUGAAGUCGUAACAAGGUAUC